GGGGAUUUAGCUCAGUGGUAGAGCGUUUGCCUAGCAAGCACAAGGCCCUGGGUUCGGUUCUCAGCUCCCCCC
rnacentral:tRNA from 1 species